rnacentral:rRNA from 1 species
GAAGGAGGUCUAGUAUAGCAAUUAUACCGUGAAACUGCGAAUGGCUCAUUAAAUCAGUUAUCGUUUAUUUGAUAGUACCUUACUACUUGGAUAACCGUGGUAAUUCUAGAGCUAAUACAUGCUUACAACCUCGACUUCGGAAGGGGUGUAUUUAUUAGAUAAAAAACCAACGCCCUUCGGGGCUUCUUGGUGAUUCAUGAUAACUUUACGGAUCGCAUGGCCUUGCGCCGGCGACGGUUCAUUCAAAUUUCUGCCCUAUCAACUUUCGAUGGUAAGGUAUUGGCUUACCAUGGUUUCAACGGGUAACGGGGAAUUAGGGUUCGAUUCCGGAGAGGGAGCCUGAGAAACGGCUACCACAUCCAAGGAAGGCAGCAGGCGCGCAAAUUACCCAAUCCCAAUACGGGGAGGUAGUGACAAUAAAUACUGAUACAGGGCUCUUUUGGGUCUUGUAAUUGGAAUGAGUACAAUUUAAACCUCUUAACGAGGAACAAUUGGAGGGCAAGUCUGGUGCCAGCAGCCGCGGUAAUUCCAGCUCCAAUAGCGUAUAUUAAAGUUGUUGCAGUUAAAAAGCUCGUAGUUGAACCUUGGGUCUGGCUGGCAGGUCCGCCUCACCGCGUGUACUUGUCCGGCCGGGCCUUCCUUCUGGAGAACCUCAUGCCCUUCACUGGGCGUGUUGGGGACCAGGACUUUUACUUUGAAAAAAUUAGAGUGUUCAAAGCAGGCCUUUGCUCGAAUACGUUAGCAUGGAAUAAUAGAAUAGGACGUGCGGUCCUAUUUUGUUGGUUUCUAGGACCGCCGUAAUGAUUAAUAGGGACAGUCGGGGGCAUCAGUAUUCAAUUGUCAGAGGUGAAAUUCUUGGAUUUAUUGAAGACUAACUACUGCGAAAGCAUUUGCCAAGGAUGUUUUCAUUAAUCAGUGAACGAAAGUUAGGGGAUCGAAGACGAUCAGAUACCGUCGUAGUCUUAACCGUAAACUAUGCCGACUAGGGAUCGGGCGAUGUUAUUUUUCUGACUCGCUCGGCACCUUACGAGAAAUCAAAGUUUUUGGGUCUGGGGCAGAGUCCCC